GGGAAGUAUGGUUGCAAAGCUGAAACUUAAAGGAAUUGACGGAAGGGCACCACCAGGAGUGGAGCCUGCGGCUUAAUUUGACUCAACACGGGAAAACUUACCCGGCCCGGACACUGGGAGGAUUGACAGAUUGAGAGCUCUUUCUUGAUUCGGUGGAUGGUGGUGCAUGGCCGUUCUUAGUUGGUGGAGCGAUUUGUCUGGUUAAUUCCGAUAACGAACGAGACUCUAGCCUAUUAAAUAGGUGCGUGGUUCUCUGCACCUUGCACCCUUCUUAGAGGGACAAGCGGCUCCUAGCCGCACGAAACAGAGCAAUAACAGGUCUGUGAUGCCCUUAGAUGUCCGGGGCCGCACGCGCGCUACACUGAAGGAAGCAGCGUGUUUUUAUCCCUGUCUGUAAAGACUGGGUAACCCGUGGAACCUCCUUCGUGAUUGGGAUAGGGGCUUGCAAUUGUUCCCCUUGAACGAGGAAUUCCCAGUAAGCGCGAGUCAUAAGCUCGCGUUGAUUACGUCCCUGCCCUUUGUACA
rnacentral:rRNA from 1 species